rnacentral:sRNA from 1 species
AUUCUCCUGCCUCAGCCUCUGGAGUAGCUGGGACUACAGUCGCGUGCCACCAACCCAGCUAAUUUUUUUUUUGUAUUUUUAGUAGAGACGGGGUUUCACAGUGUUAGCCAAGAUGGUCUUGACCUCCUGACCUCGUGAUCUGCGCGCCUUGGCUUCCCAAAGUGCUGGGAUUACAGGCGUGAGCCACCGUGCCCUGCCUGGAGCCUUUUCUUUAAUAUAAAAAUAAAUGUUAGUCAAUUUGUUUAAAUAUAAACAUGUGAGCUGCUUGAGCACAGGGACUAUAUCAUAAUGUCUUUUGCUCUCUUACAAAUCAUCAACGAAUGGAUUGAAAUGGAAGAGUUUGUCCAAAGCUCUGGAGAAAAUGGUGUUGUGGUGUUUUCUCUGGGGUCAAUGGUCAGUAACACAUCAGAAGAAAGGGCC